UACAUGGGGUGCAGACGUUGCUCGGAAUUAUUGGGCGUAAAGCGCACGUAGGCGGUUUGUUAAGUCGGAUGUGAAAUCCCUCGGCUCAACUGAGGAAGUGCAUCCGAAACUGGCAGGCUUGAGUACUAAAGAGGGUCGCGGAAUUCCCGGUGUAGAGGUGAAAUUCGUAGAUAUCGGGAGGAACACCGGUGGCGAAGGCGGCGACCUGGGUAGAUACUGACGCUGAGGUGCGAAAGCGUGGGGAGCAAACAGG
rnacentral:rRNA from 1 species